UUCUUUCUGUCCUUGCCACGAAACGUGGCUGUAGGCCUAACCAUGCAUUUUCACAGUCUCGCUGGCUCAGUAAUGGCUGCACCUCAGAAUCCGGGUCCUGUUUGGUUUAUGAAACUGCUUAUGAUAGCACCCUGUAAAGGUCACAAGCAAAGAUGAUAAUGCAGACAUCACAACCUUUGAUGUGGCUCAUCUCUUUCAGAGUACACAUUCACUGCAGAAUUAUCUACAUUCAAGCCGCCUGAAAGCACUGCAACCACAAAAUGCUUGCUGCGGCCACUUCCGUUCUCUGCUACGGUUUCUUGGGGUGCACAUGUGGGAUUUUUGGAAGGCACUGGGAGAACUGACAGCACUUUGACUGCCGGAGCCGCUAACGGGUUGUGCAACUUGAGUUUUAGCCUACAAAUCUGAUGGAGCGGCCACUAGAGUUAAUGGGGCUUGUGAAUGGCUCGGGCUUGACUUAGGGGUGAUACUCAACUUAGAGCUCAAAGGAGCUUUUCACCGGGGAACGGAUCUUUUGUGUUGAUAAGGAGAGCAUUGACCAAAGAACUAUAGGUGGAUAAGUGCAACUAGGAAGAGGGAUAGAUAGCAGUAAUGCACUAGAAAGUGGGACUAAAUCUCUGCUGAAAGAGGAGAUAACAGGCACAUCCCGUAUUAACAACGGAGCGUAGCAUUCAUCCAGACAUCCCAAAUGAAAGCAAGAGAAACCAUUUGAGAGCCAGGAAGCAGCAGAAGGACGCUCAGAAGGACACAAGUUUAGGAUUUUCUUUUUCCUUCAAAGAAAUCCACAGCAUUUACUACAUCACACGCUUCUUCUGGGUGGAGAGAACGACAGGCAGGCACUGAUAGAGGUUGGUAGGAUGAGCUUGCCUUUAGGAAACAGAGACACAUAAGUACAGGUAUGGCCAUUCGAGAAGAUUUGCAAGAACAGCUGGCAUUUCCCUAAGUGCUAAUGAGCAAUAUCCAUUUCUGUACCUUCCUGAAGAAACAGAAAGCACUGCAGUUCUUCACCAAACACUGGAAAACGACCCACAGAGGUGGGUCGUGGCUGAAGCAGAUGUGUUUUAAACUGAAGCAUAACAGCGCAUACGUGUUGUGUGUAUAUUCUCUAGGAGAGCAGAAAUGUGCAUUGUGUGCAAGGAGGAGAAGGAAUGUCUCAUCAUCAGCUUGCAUCUCUGCAUUCUGCUGAGAGAAGAUGAAACGCAGUGCUGCUUGGAUCAUAGAAUCAUGAAGGCUGGAAAAGACACCUAAGAUCAUCCAGUCCAAGCCCAACCCAUCCCCGCCAUGCCCACUGACCAUGAAUCUCAGUGCCACAUCCCCACAGUUCUUAAACACCUCCAGGGACGGUGACUGCACCACCUCCCUGAGCAGCCCGUGCCACUGCAUGGCCACUCUGUCCGAGAAGAUAUGUUUCCUAAUAUCCAACCUGAACCUCCUCCGGGUGCAGUUUGAGGUCAUCCCCUCUCAUCCUACGGCUGCUACCCAGAAGAGGCCGACCUCUACCACACCACAACCUCUUUUUGGGCAGUUCUAGAGAGCCAUAAGGUCGAGAACCGUGGAGACGCGGCACUGAUGGACAUGGUCAGUGGGCACGGCGGGGAUGGGCUGGGAACUGGACUGGAUGAUCUGAGAGGUCUUCGCAGCCCUAACGAUGCUGCGUUUCUAUGCGAAGCGCUCGGACCGAGAUGCCCAGCGGUGCCCUCAGACGGAGCGCUGCACGCAGGUCACCCUCCGGCCGCACGGAG
ensembl:lncRNA